GACGAGGGAUCCUAGCGUUGUUCGGAAUUAUUGGGCGUAAAGCGGGUGUAGGCGGCUCUAUAAGUCAGGUGUGAAAGCCCGAGGCUCAACCUCGGAAGUGCACUUGAUACUGUAGAGCUUGAAUGUGGUAGAGGUUACUGGAAUUGCUGGUGUAGUGGUGAAAUACGUAGAUAUCAGCAGGAAUACCGGAGGCGAAGGCGGGUAACUGGGCCAACAUUGACGCUGAGACCCGAAAGCGUGGGGAUCAAACAGG
rnacentral:rRNA from 1 species